rnacentral:rRNA from 1 species
CCUACGGGAGGCAGCAGUGAGGAAUAUUGGUCAAUGGACGGAAGUCUGAACCAGCCAUGCCGCGUGCAGGAUGACGGCCCUAUGAGUUGUAAACUGCUUUUGUACAAGGGUAAACCUGAGUACGUGUAUUCAGCUGAAUGUACUGUACGAAUAAGGAUCGGCUAACUCCGUGCCAGCAGCCGCGGUAAUACGGAGGAUCCGAGCGUUAUCCGGAUUUAUUGGGUUUAAAGGGUGCGUAGGCGGGUUGAUAAGUUAGAGGUGAAAGGUCAGGGCUUAACUCGGGAAUUGCCGUUGAUACUGUUGACCUUGAGAGUAGAAGAGGUAGGCGGAAUGUAUGGUGUAGCGGUGAAAUGCUUAGAGAUCAGACAGAACACCGAUUGCGAAGGCAGCUUAC